GAGUUUGAUCCUGGUUCAGGAUGAACGCUAGCGACAGGCUUAACACAUGCAAGUCGAGGGGCAGCACGGGAGUAGCAAUACAACUGGUGGCGACCGGCGCACGGGUGAGUAACGCGCAUGCAACCUACCUAUCAGAGGGGAAUAACCCGGCGAAAGUCGGACUAAUACCGCAUAAAACAGGGGCACCGCAUGGUGAUAUUUGUUAAAGAAAUUCGCUGAUAGAUGGGCAUGCGUUCCAUUAGGUAGUUGGUGAGGUAACGGCUCACCAAGCCGACGAUGGAUAGGGGAACUGAGAGGUUGGUCCCCCACACUGGUACUGAGACACGGACCAGACUCCUACGGGAGGCAGCAGUGAGGAAUAUUGGUCAAUGGGCGAGAGCCUGAACCAGCCAAGUCGCGUGAAGGAAGAAGGAUCUAUGGUUCGUAAACUUCUUUUGCAGGGGAAUAAAGUGCAGGACGUGUCCUGUUUUGUAUGUACCCUGAGAAUAAGGAUCGGCUAACUCCGUGCCAGCAGCCGCGGUAAUAC
rnacentral:rRNA from 1 species